rnacentral:rRNA from 1 species
GACGAACGCUGGCGGCGUGCUUAACACAUGCAAGUCGAACGGAAAGGCCCUGCUUUUGUUGUUUUCUCGAGUGGCGAACGGGUGAGUAACACGUGAGUAACCUGCCCUUGACUUUGGGAUAACUUCAGGAAACUGGGGCUAAUACCGGAUAGGAUCUCCUGCUGCACGGUGGGGGUUGGAAAGUUUCGGCGGUUGUGGAUGGACUCGCGGCUUAUCAGCUUGUUUGGGAGGUAGUGGCUUACCAAGGCUUUGACGGGUAGGCGGCAUGGGAGGGUGACCGGCGACAUUGGGACUGAGAUACGGCCCAGACUCCUACGGGAGGCAGCAGUGGGGAAUAUUGCACAAUGGGCGGAAGCGUGAUGCAGCAACGCCGCGUGCGGGAUGACGGCCUUCGGGUUGUAAACAGCUUUCGACUGUGACGAAGCGUGAGUGACGGUAAUGGGUAAAGAAGCAACGGCUAACUACGUG